rnacentral:rRNA from 1 species
AAAGGAAUUGACGGGGGCCCGCACAAGCGGAGGAACAUGUGGUUUAAUUCGAUGAUACGCGAGGAACCUUACCCGGGCUUAAAUUGCACUGGACGAUCUUGGAAACAGGAUUUUCUUCGGACCAGUGUGAAGGUGCUGCAUGGUUGUCGUCAGCUCGUGCCGUGAGGUGUCGGCUUAAGUGCCAUAACGAGCGCAACCCUUAUCUUUAGUUACUAACAGGUUAUGCUGAGGACUCUAAAGAGACUGCCGUCGUAAGAUGUGAGGAAGGUGGGGAUGACGUCAAAUCAGCACGGCCCUUACGUCCGGGGCUACACACGUGUUACAAUGGGGGGUACAACAGGCAGCUACCUAGCGAUAGGAUGCUAAUCCCAAAAACCUCUCUCAGUUCGGAUCGAAGUCUGCAACCCGACUUCGUGAAGCUGGAUUCGCUAGUAAUCGCGCAUCAGCCACGGCGCGGUGAAUACGUUCCCGGGCCUUGUACACACCGCCCGU